GAUGAACGCUAGCGGAACGCCUAACACAUGCAAGUCGAACGAGAAUCUUACUUCGGUAAGAGGAAAGUGGCAAACGGGCGAGUAACGCGUGUCUAACCUGCCCUGGAGUGUGAUGAUAACUAUGGAGACAUAGCUAAUAAUCCAUACGUCCUUACGAAUGAAAAUAGUAAGGAGAAAGAUUUAUCGCUCUAGGAGGGGGACGCGUCCUAUCAGUUAGUUGGUAAGGUAAAAGCUUACCAAGACGAUGACGGGUAGCCGGUCUGAGAGGAUGUCCGGCCGCAAUGGAACUGAGACACGGUCCAU
rnacentral:rRNA from 1 species